rnacentral:rRNA from 1 species
UUCCGGUUGAUCCUGCCGGAGGUCACUGCUAUUGGGAUUCGACUAAGCCAUGCGAGUCGAGAGGGUUCGGCCCUCGGCUGACGGCUCAGUAACACGUGGAUAAUCUGCCCUAGGGUGGAGGAUAACCUCGGGAAACUGAGAAUAAUACUCCAUAGGUCUAAGAUGCUGGAAUGCAUUUAGACUGAAAACUCCGGUGCCCUAGGAUGAGUCUGCGGACUAUCAGGUUGUAGUCAGGGUAAAGACCUGACUAGCCUACGACGGAUACGGGUUGUGAGAGCAAUAACCCGGAGAUGAUAUCUGAGACACGAUAUCAGGCCCUACGGGGCGCAGCAGGCGCGAAAACUUCACACUGUGCGAAAGCGCGAUGAGGGAAUCCCAAGUGCUUGCACGUAAGUGUAAGCUGUUUUUAUGUUUAAAAUGCAUAGAGAGUAAGGGCUGGGUAAGACGGGUGCCAGCCGCCGCGGUAAUACCUGCAGCUCAAGUGGUGAUCAUUAUUAUUGGGCCUAAAACGUUCGUAGCCGGUUUAGUAAAUGCCUGGGUAAAUCGUGUAGCUUAACUAUACGGAUUCCGGGUAGACUGCUAAACUUGAGACCGGGAGAGGCUAGAGGUACUCCUGGGGUAGAGGUGAAAUUCUGUAAUCCUAGGGGGACCACCAGUGGCGAAGGCGUCUAGCUAGAACGGGUCUGACGGUGAGGGACGAAGCCCUGGGGCGCAAACCGGAUUAGAUACCCGGGUAGUCCAGGGUGUAAACGCUGCUUGCUUGAUGUUAGUCGGGCUCCGAGCCCGAUUAGUGUCGGAGAGAAGUUGUUAAGCAAGCUGCCUGGGGAGUACGGUCGCAAGGCUGAAACUUAAAGGAAUUGGCGGGGGAGCACAGCAACGGGUGGAGCGUGCGGUUUAAUUGGAUUCAACGCCGGG